UAGAGCUCCGCACCUCCAUGGGUAGACAAGCCCGCAGAGCGUCACAUCCGGCGCGACGGCUCAUAGUGCGCCUGCGCACUGCGGCUUCCUCUCUCUGUAGCUGCGCCGUGAAGGAAGAUGGCCAAGCGCACCAAGAAGGUUGGGAUCGUGGGGAAAUAUGGGACACGUUACGGUGCGUCCUUGAGGAAGAUGGUGAAGAAGAUUGAGAUCAGCCAACACGCCAAGUACACCUGCUCCUUCUGCGGCAAG